rnacentral:RNase_P_RNA from 1 species
GGCAACGGUGAGGAAAGUCCGGGCUAUACAGGGCAGGGUGCCGGAUAACGUCCGGUGGAGGUAACUCCAAGGAAAGUGCAACAGAGAACAGACCGCCGCGAAAGCGGUAAGGGUGGAACGGCAGUGUAAGAGACUACCGCCUUCCCGGUAACGGGCAAGGGCAGUGUAAACCCCACUCAUAGCAAGACCGAACAGGAAGCGAUACGGCGGCCCGUCGUGCUUCCGGGUAGGUUGCGUUCCGCGCUCGGAAGGGCGCGGAGGAGCUGUGCGGUGACGCACAGUCAAGACAGAUGAUCAUCCGAGACAGAACCCGGCUUAUCGUGCUGC